AAAUGAAUAGACGGGGGCCCGCACAAGCGGAGGAACAUGUGGUUUAAUUCGAUGAUACGCGAGGAACCUUACCUGGGUUAGAAAGAUGUUGACAGGUCUGGAAACGGACUUUCCCUUCGGGGCAACAUAUUAGGUGCUGCAUGGUUGUCGUCAGCUCGUGCCGUGAGGUGUCGGGUUAAGUCCCAUAACGAGCGCAACCCUCAUUGUUAGUUACCAGCAUGUAAUGGUGGGGACUCUAGCAAGACUGCCGGUGUAAACCGCGAGGAAGGUGGGGAUGACGUCAAAUCAGCACGGCCUUUAUGUCCAGGGCUACACACGUGUUACAAUGGCCAAUACAGAGGGCAGCCAGACAGUGAUGUCGCGCGAAUCUUUAAAGUUGGUCUUAGUUCGGAUCGGAGUCUGCAACUCGACUCCGUGAAGCUGGAUUCGCUAGUAAUCGCAGAUCAGCCAUGCUGCGGUGAAUACGUUCCCGGGCCUUGUACACACCGCCCGU
rnacentral:rRNA from 1 species